CGUGGCUCGAGGACGAACGCUGGCGGCGUGCCUAAUACAUGCAAGUCGAACGGUCUUUCUAUGGAAGCUUGCUUCCACUGAGAAGAUAGUGGCGAACGGGUGAGUAACACGUGGGUAACCUGCCCAUAAGAGGGGGGAUAACAUCCGGAAACGGGUGCUAAUACCGCAUAGUUUUCUUGAUCGCAUGAUCGGGAAAGGAAAGACGGCCUUUGUGCUGUCGCUUAUGGAUGGACCCGCGGCGUAUUAGUUAGUUGGUGAGGUAACGGCUCACCAAGACGAUGAUACGUAGCCGACCUGAGAGGGUGAUCGGCCACAUUGGGACUGAGACACGGCCCAAACUCCGUACGGGAGGCAGCAGUAGGGAAUCUUCCGCAAUGGACGAAAGUCUGACGGAGCAACGCCGCGUGAGUGAAGGUAAAGGGUUUUCGGAUCGUAAAACUCUGUUGUCAGAGAAGAACAAGUUGGAGAGUAACUGCUCCAGCCUUGACGGUAUCUGACCAGAAAGCCACGGCUAACUACGUGCCAGCCGCAGC
rnacentral:rRNA from 1 species